GAAAGUCCAGAGAACAAGGCUUUCACAAUCAGUGAGUGAGAAUGCAGGUAAAAUGGAGAGCAAAAGGAGAAGAAAGCCACCACGCAGCAGCUUUGCAGCCAUUGUGGAUUCUGUUUCAGAGAAGAGAAAUCAUGAGCGGCAGAUAAUCACUUCAUUUACUUCUUCAGGCUCUGAAGAUAGUCCUUGAUGCAAAAGUAUCCUUGCAGAGCUCGUCAGUGAUGUUCCCCUUUAAUGGAUUGAUGUCUUUAUAAUACACAUUGUGAAAAUUGGUUUCGCUCUGUCUCCUGAGUGUAUACCAUUAUGGCUUUCUUUUUAAUGAUUGUUGGCAACUAACUGCAUGACAGCAUUGAACACAAAUACCACUGAUGAUGAUGAAUGGAUUGAGGAAUGUGGAAUGCACUGUACGAGAAGGUUCCAGAAAGUGCUGCAAGUCUCCUCCUGAUGCCCAGAUGCAAGAGCAUCAUGUAUACGCCAGGGUGCUCUUUGAUCUUAACCUGAUACACAAGUUUUGGAGGCUAAAUCCAAAAUUCAGGGAACACAUCCAAUGAGGGCCUUCUUUUGGGUGGUGACUCUCUACAGGGUCCUGUGGUGACCAGGA